rnacentral:rRNA from 1 species
UGGGGAAUCUUGGACAAUGGGCGCAAGCCUGAUCCAGCCAUGCCGCGUGGAUGAUGAAGGCCUUAGGGUUGUAAAAUCCUUUCGCCGAGGACGAUAAUGACGGUACCCGGAGAAUAAGUCCCGGCUAACUUCGUGCCAGCAGCCGCGGUAAUACGAAGGGGACUAGCGUUGUUCGGAAUCACUGGGCGUAAAGCGCACGUAGGCGGAUUUGUAAGUCAGGGGUGAAAUCCCGGGGCUCAACCUCGGAACUGCCUUUGAUACUGCGGAUCUCGAGUCCGAUAGAGGUGAGUGGAAUUCCUAGUGUAGAGGUGAAAUUCGUAGAUAUUAGGAAGAACACCGGUGGCGAAGGCGGCUCACUGGAUCGGUACUGACGCUGAGGUGCGAAAGCGUGGGGAGCAAACAGGAUUAGAUACCCGUGUAGUCCCUGAGCGGGCUGGCAAGGCGCAU